rnacentral:rRNA from 1 species
ACGAACGCUGGCGGCGUGCCUAAUACAUGCAAGUCGAGCGGACUAAUUAAGAGCUUGCUCUUAUGAGGUUAGCGGCGGACGGGUGAGUAACACGUGGGCAACCUGCCCUGUAGACUGGGAUAACAUCGAGAAAUCGGUGCUAAUACCGGAUAAUUGUUGGAACUGCAUAGUUCUAACUUAAAAGAUGGCUCCGGCUAUCACUAUAGGAUGGGCCCGCGGCGCAUUAGCUAGUUGGUAAGGUAAUGGCUUACCAAGGCGACGAUGCGUAACCGACCUGAGAGGGUGAUCGGCCACACUGGGACUGAGACACGGCCCAGACUCCUACGGGAGGCAGCAGUAGGGAAUCUUCCGCAAUGGACGAAAGUCUGACGGAGCAACGCCGCGUGAGUGAUGAAGGUUUUCGGAUCGUAAAGCUCUGUUGUUAGGGAAGAACAAGUGCCGUUCGAAUAGGGCGGCACCUUGACGGUACCUAACCAGAAAGCCACGGCUAACUACGUG